rnacentral:tRNA from 1 species
UUCUCUAGCUUAGUUGGUUAAGGCGCCGGUCUAGCGAAUACGAAAUCGUGGGUUCGAAUCCCACCAGAA